UUAAGCGACUAAGCGUACACGGUGGAUGCCCUGGCAGUCAGAGGCGAUGAAGGACGUGCUAAUCUGCGAAAAGCGUCGGUAAGGUGAUAUGAACCGUUAUAACCGGCGAUGUCCGAAUGGGGAAACCCAGUGUGAUUCGUCACACUAUCGUUAACUGAAUACAUAGGUUAACGAGGCGAACCGGGGGAACUGAAACAUCUAAGUACCCCGAGGAAAAGAAAUCAACCGAGAUUCCCCCAGUAGCGGCGAGCGAACGGGGAGCAGCCCAGAGUCUGAAUCAGCUUGUGUGUUAGUGGAACGGUCUGGAAAGUCCGACGGUACAGGGUGAUAGUCCCGUACACCAAAAUGCACAGGCUGUGAACUCGAAGAGUAGGGCGGGACACGUGGUAUCCUGUCUGAAUAUGGGGGGACCAUCCUCCAAGGCUAAAUACUCCUGACUGACCGAUAGUGAACCAGUACCGUGAGGGAAAGGCGAAAAGAACCCCGGCGAGGGGAGUGAAAAAGAACCUGAAACCGUGUACGUACAAGCAGUGGGAGCACCUUCGGGUGUGACUGCGUACCUUUUGUAUAAUGGGUCAGCGACUUAUAUUCUGUAGCAAGGUUAACCGUAUAGGGGAGCCGCAGGGAAACCGAGUCUUAACUGGGCGUUAAGUUGCAGGGUAUAGACCCGAAACCCGGUGAUCUAGCCAUGGGCAGGUUGAAGGUUGGGUAACACUAACUGGAGGACCGAACCGACUAAUGUUGAAAAAUUAGCGGAUGACUUGUGGCUGGGGGUGAAAGGCCAAUCAAACCGGGAGAUAGCUGGUUCUCCCCGAAAGCUAUUUAGGUAGCGCCUCGUGAACUCAUCUUCGGGGGUAGAGCACUGUUUCGGCUAGGGGGUCAUCCCGACUUACCAACCCGAUGCAAACUACGAAUACCGAAGAAUGUUAUCACGGGAGACACACGGCGGGUGCUAACGUCCGUCGUGAAGAGGGAAACAACCCAGACCGCCAGCUAAGGUCCCAAAGUCAUGGUUAAGUGGGAAACGAUGUGGGAAGGCACAGACAGCCAGGAUGUUGGCUUAGAAGCAGCCAUCAUUUAAAGAAAGCGUAAUAGCUCACUGGUCGAGUCGGCCUGCGCGGAAGAUGUAACGGGGCUAAACCAUGCACCGAAGCUGCGGCAGCGACACUAUGUGUUGUUGGGUAGGGGAGCGUUCUGUAAGCCUGCGAAGGUGACCUGUGAGGGUUGCUGGAGGUAUCAGAAGUGCGAAUGCUGACAUAAGUAACGAUAAAGCGGGUGAAAAGCCCGCUCGCCGGAAGACCAAGGGUUCCUGUCCAACGUUAAUCGGGGCAGGGUGAGUCGACCCCUAAGGCGAGGCCGAAAGGCGUAGUCGAUGGGAAACAGGUUAAUAUUCCUGUACUUGGUGUUACUGCGAAGGGGGGACGGAGAAGGCUAUGUUAGCCGGGCGACGGUUGUCCCGGUUUAAGCAUGUAGGCUGAUUGUCCAGGCAAAUCCGGAUAAUCAAGGCUGAGGUGUGAUGACGAGGCACUACGGUGCUGAAGUAACAAAUGCCCUGCUUCCAGGAAAAGCCUCUAAGCAUCAGGUAACAUUAAAUCGUACCCCAAACCGACACAGGUGGUCAGGUAGAGAAUACCAAGGCGCUUGAGAGAACUCGGGUGAAGGAACUAGGCAAAAUGGUGCCGUAACUUCGGGAGAAGGCACGCUGGUGUGUAGGUGAAGCCCCUGCGGGUGGAGCUGAGACCAGUCGAAGAUACCAGCUGGCUGCAACUGUUUAUUAAAAACACAGCACUGUGCAAACACGAAAGUGGACGUAUACGGUGUGACGCCUGCCCGGUGCCGGAAGGUUAAUUGAUGGGGUUAUCCGUAAGGAGAAGCUCUUGAUCGAAGCCCCGGUAAACGGCGGCCGUAACUAUAACGGUCCUAAGGUAGCGAAAUUCCUUGUCGGGUAAGUUCCGACCUGCACGAAUGGCGUAAUGAUGGCCAGGCUGUCUCCACCCGAGACUCAGUGAAAUUGAACUCGCUGUGAAGAUGCAGUGUACCCGCGGCAAGACGGAAAGACCCCGUGAACCUUUACUAUAGCUUGACACUGAACAUUGAGCCUUGAUGUGUAGGAUAGGUGGGAGGCUUUGAAGCGUGGACGCCAGUCUGCGUGGAGCCAACCUUGAAAUACCACCCUUUAAUGUUUGAUGUUCUAACGUUGGCCCCUGACCGGGGUUGCGGACAGUGUCUGGUGGGUAGUUUGACUGGGGCGGUCUCCUCCCAAAGCGUAACGGAGGAGCACGAAGGUUAGCUAAUCCUGGUCGGACAUCAGGAGGUUAGUGCAAUGGCAUAAGCUAGCUUGACUGCGAGCGUGACGGCGCGAGCAGGUGCGAAAGCAGGUCAUAGUGAUCCGGUGGUUCUGAAUGGAAGGGCCAUCGCUCAACGGAUAAAAGGUACUCCGGGGAUAACAGGCUGAUACCGCCCAAGAGUUCAUAUCGACGGCGGUGUUUGGCACCUCGAUGUCGGCUCAUCACAUCCUGGGGCUGAAGUAGGUCCCAAGGGUAUGGCUGUUCGCCAUUUAAAGUGGUACGCGAGCUGGGUUUAGAACGUCGUGAGACAGUUCGGUCCCUAUCUGCCGUGGGCGCUGGAGAAUUGAGGGGGGCUGCUCCUAGUACGAGAGGACCGGAGUGGACGCAUCACUGGUGUUCGGGUUGUCAUGCCAAUGGCACUGCCCGGUAGCUAAAUGCGGAAGAGAUAAGUGCUGAAAGCAUCUAAGCACGAAACUUGCCCCGAGAUGAGUUCUCCCUGAGACUUUAAGUCUCCUGAAGGAACGUUAAAGACGAUGACGUUGAUAGGCCGGGUGUGUAAGCGCAGCGAUGCGUUGAGCUAACCGGUACUAAUGAACCGUGAGGCUUAACCUU
rnacentral:rRNA from 1 species